rnacentral:rRNA from 1 species
CCUACGGGUGACUGCAGUGAGGAAUAUUGGUCAAUGGGCGGAAGCCUGAACCAGCCAAGUAGCGUGCGGGAUGAAGGCCCUACGGGUCGUAAACCGCUUUUGCACGGGGAUAACACCCUCCACUUGUGGAGGUCUGCAGGUACCUUGCGAAUAAGGGCCGGCUAAUUCCGUGCCAGCAGCCGCGGUAAUACGGAAGGCCCGAGCGUUAUCCGGAUUCAUUGGGCUUAAAGGGAGCGUAGGCGGGCUUUCAAGUCAGCUGUAAAAGCGCGCGGCUCAACCGCGCCCCGCAGUUGAAACUGGUAGACUGGAGUUGACAACAGGCAGGCGGAAUUCGUGGUGUAGCGGUGAAAUGCAUAGAUAGCACGAGGAACCCCGAGUGCGAAGGCAGCAUGCCGGGGUGCGACUGACGCUGAGGCUCGAAGGUGCGGGUAUCAAACAGGAUUAGAUACCCCUGUAGUC